rnacentral:rRNA from 1 species
AUUGAACGCUGGCGGCAGGCCUAACACAUGCAAGUCGAGCGGGGUUUUCGGACCUAGCGGCGGACGGGUGAGUAAUGCGUAGGAAGCUACCCGAUAGAGGGGGAUACCAGUUGGAAACGACUGUUAAUACCGCAUAAUGUCUACGGACCAAAGUGUGGGACCUUCGGGCCACAUGCUAUCGGAUGCGCCUACGUGGGAUUAGCUAGUUGGUGGGGUAAUGGCUCACCAAGGCGACGGUCCAUAGCUGGUUUGAGAGGAUGAUCAGCCACACUGGAACUGAGAAACGGCCCAGACUCCGACGGGAGGCAGCAGUGGGGAAUAUUGGGCAAUGGGCGCAAGCCGGAUCCAGCCAUGUCGCGUGUGUGAAGAAGGACUUCGGGUUGUAAAGCACUUUCAGUAGGGAGAAAGGGUGAUGCGUUAAUAGCACAGCAUUUUGACGUUACCUACAGAAGAAGCACCGGCUAACUCUGUGCCAGCAGCCGCGGUAAUAC